UAUGGUCUUAUCACGUUGAAACACCGGUUUCCAUGCGAUCGCCGAUGUUAAGCAACGUCGAGGCUGGUCAGUACCUAGAUGGGUGACCGCUUCGGAAUACCAGUUGAUGUAAG